CAGAUAUGAGUCCUAGGGUUAGGAUGGGAGAGGACCUAGGGUGAAGGUCUGAUAUGGAACAGAGAGAGCUAGCUCGGAUAUGGAACAAAGAGCAGUUUUUGCUAGCAUGUGUGAUGGCACGAUAGUCUAGCCAGCUCGAGAUCUGACCAGGUCGGCUCAAAUUGGGAAUAGAACGAUGCAUGGAUUUUGAUUUUGGCUAGGAUUGGAUUUGAACCUAGGGGUCUUGAAGCCUUGUUUGGGAGGUCUUAAGGGAGUUAACCCAAAGGCUUGGAUUGGGAUUAAGUCCAAGGGGUG
rnacentral:lncRNA from 1 species